rnacentral:misc_RNA from 1 species
GAUGAAGAACGCAGCAAAAUGCGAUAAGUAAUGUGAAUUGCAGAAUUCAGUGAAUCAUCGAAUCUUUGAACGCACAUUGCGCCCGCCAGUAUUCUGGCGGGCAUGCCUGUUCGAGCGUCAUUUCAACCCUCAAGCACAGCUUGGUGUUGGGACUCGCGUUAAUUCGCGUUCCUCAAAUUGAUUGGCGGUCACGUCGAGCUUCCAUAGCGUAGUAGUAAAACCCUCGUUACAGGUAAUCGUCGCGGCCACGCCGUUAAACCCCAACUUCUGAAUGUUGACCUCGGAUCAGGUAGGAAUACCCGCUGAACUUAAGCAUAUCAAUAAGCGGAGGA